rnacentral:rRNA from 1 species
AGAGUUUGAUCAUGGCUCAGGACGAACGCUGGCGGCGCGCCUAACACAUGCAAGUCGAACGAGAGAGAAGGAGCUUGCUUCUUCGAUCGAGUGGCGAACGGGUGAGUAACGCGUGAGGAACCUGCCCUCAAAGAGGGGGACAACAGUUGGAAACGACUGCUAAUACCGCAUAAGCCCACGGGUCGGCAUCGACCUGAGGGAAAAGGAGCAAUCCGCUUUGAGAUGGCCUCGCGUCCGAUUAGCUUAGG